rnacentral:rRNA from 1 species
AUUGAACGCUGGCGGCAGGCUUAACACAUGCAAGUCGAGCGAGCGGCGGACGGGUGAGUAAUGUCUGGGGAUCUGCCUGAUGGAGGGGGAUAACUACUGGAAACGGUGGCUAAUACCGCAUACUAUCAGAUGUGCCCAGAUGGGAUUAGCUAGUAGGUGGGGUAAUGGCUCACCUAGGCGACGAUCCCUAGCUGGUCUGAGAGGAUGACCAGGCACACUGGAACUGAGACACGGUCCAGACUCCUACGGGAGGCAGCAGUGGGGAAUAUUGCACAAUGGGCGCAAGCCUGAUGCAGCCAUGCCGCGGGUAUGAAGAAGGCCUUCGGGUUGUAAAGCACUUUCAGCGGGGAGGCGUUACCCGCAGAAGAAGCACCGGCUAACUCCGUGCCAGCAGCCGCGGUAAUUC